CCGGAGACCCAGCGGAGCCGGAGAAAAAGACCGAAGGCCAGGCAGCCUGGCAAGUGCGCCGGCAGAGGCGCGCAGAGAAAGGCGCGGAAGAGCGGUGAGGAUCGGACGCCUGGGGACCAGGUGGCCAGGAUCCCAAAUGAGGCAAGACAAGAACGGAUUCCCACGGGCUGUUCUCUACUCCCACACAUGUGCUGUGUGGUAUGCGCCCCUCCCACUCCCUGUCUAGGAUAAGAGAAGAAAAGCAAACCCCACUGCAUGGCUCCCCAGAGCUGAUGGCUUCUGGCCCAGAUGCCGGAGAAGAAAUGCUCAUCCUUCCUUGCCGGGCUGGCUACUAAUUAUUUGACCACGCUCCAGGUCUCCCACAGAAACUGGAAGUCACCGAUUGGUUGCCUGGCUGGCAAGCAAGUUCUGAAAGCUUCUCCUGUCCCUACCUCUCCAGUGGCGCUGGUAUUACAGG